CCUGGCUCACAACGAACGCUGGCGGCGCGUUUAAGCAUGCAAGUCGAACGGGAUCAUUCCUUCGGGGAUGUGAGAGUGGCGAACGGGUGAGUAACACGUAGGUGAUCUACCGCUUGGCGGGGGAUAGCCCAUGGAAACAUGGGGUAAUACCGCAUACGACCGAUCUGCUGUGGCGGGUUGGGGAAAGGCGCUUAGGCGUCACCGAGCGAUGAGCCUGCGGCUGAUUAGCUGGUUGGUAGGGUAACGGCCUACCAAGGCAACGAUCAGUAGCCGGCCUGAGAGGGUGAUCGGCCACACUGGGACUGAGAUACGGCCCAGACAACUACGGUUGGCAGCAGCUAAGAAUCUUCCGCAAUGGACGAAAGUCUGACGGACCGAUGCCGCGUGGGCGAUGAAGGCCGUGAGGUUGUAAAGCCCUUUUCUAUCGGAGGAAUAAGCCUGGGAGGGAAUGCCCGGGUGAUGACGGUACGGUAGGAAUAAGCCCCGGCCAAUUACGUGCCAGCAGCCGCGGUAACACGUAAGGGGCGAGCGUUGUUCGGAAUUAUUGGGCGUAAAGGGCACGUAGGCGGCACGGUAAGCCUGGUGUGAAAGACCGCAGCUUAACUGCGGAGACGCGCUGGGAACUGCCGAGCUUGAGUGCUGGAGGGGGAGCUGGAAUUCCAGGUGUAGGGGUGAAAUCUGUAGAUAUCUGGAAGAACACCGGUGGUGAAGACGAGCUCCUGGCCAGAUACUGACGCUGAGGUGCGAAAGCGUGGGGAGCGAACAGGAUUAGAUACCCUGGUAGUCCACGCCGUAAACGAUGUGCACUAGGUGUUGGGUUCAUUAGCGACUCAGUGCCGUAGCUAACGCGUUAAGUGCACCGCCUGGGGAGUAUGCUCGCA
rnacentral:rRNA from 1 species